rnacentral:rRNA from 1 species
AAAGUUACUUCGGUUACAUCGGUGACAGGUGGUGCAUGGUUGUCGUCAGCUCGUGUCGUGAGAUGUUGGGUUGAGUCCCGCAACGAGCGCAACCCCUAUUGUUAGUUGCCAUCAUUCAGUUGGGCACUCUAGCGAGACUGCCGGUAAUAAACCGGAGGAAGGUGGGGAUGACGUCAAAUCAUCAUGCCCCUUAUGACCUGGGCUACACACGUGCUACAAUGGUUGGUACAACGAGUUGCGAGUCGGUGACGGCGAGCUAAUCUCUUAAAGCCAAUCUCAGUUCGGAUUGUAGGCUGCAACUCGCCUACAUGAAGUCGGAAUCGCUAGUAAUCGCGGAUCAGCACGCCGCGGUGAAUACGUUCCCGGGCCUU